UGGGGAAUAUUGGACAAUGGGCGCAAGCCUGAUCCAGCAAUGCCGCGUGUGUGAAGAAGGCCUUCGGGUUGUAAAGCACUUUUAUCAGGAGCGAAAUACGAUGGGCUAAUACCCCGUCGGGCUGACGGUACCUGAGGAAUAAGCACCGGCUAACUCCGUGCCAGCAGCCGCGGUAAUACGAAGGGUGCAAGCGUUAAUCGGAAUUACUGGGCGUAAAGCGUGCGUAGGCGGUGAUUUAAGUCUGCUGUGAAAUCCCCGGGCUCAACCUGGGAAUGGCAGUGGAUACUGGAUCGCUAGAGUGUGAUAGAGGAUGGUGGAAUUCCCGGUGUAGCGGUGAAAUGCGUAGAGAUCGGGAGGAACAUCAGUGGCGAAGGCGGCCAUCUGGAUCAACACUGACGCUGAGGCACGAAAGCGUGGGGAGCAAACAGG
rnacentral:rRNA from 1 species